GCUGCCCUUAGAUGUGUUGCAGGUGUGCCUGCUGUGUCACCUGUAUGUCCACAGGUGGCAGAGAGGAAAGAAUCUGUCUACAGUCAGUGUUCUGAACUAUGAACAUCUGAAUCAUUAAAAACCUAACACU